UUGGCUGUUUUGCUUGACCUAUUGCCAUGAAUGAUCCAGAAUCAGAGUCUGCAGAUUUCAGAUCUGGAGCCUUGCAGGUUCCAUUGAUAAAACCAAGCUUCCUCUUGGCUGAUAGAGAUAAGAGGAUAGAUCUCCUCCAACCAGGGUAUCCUCUUCCAUCAAAGACAGCAUUGACUAGAGUCAUACCAGGCAUACUGGUUUGCUAGGGACUGUGAAGAUGAUUUUGAUAUUUUGAUACAGAUUUGGAUCGAGCUUAGGAUUGCUCUGAUACCAUGUAAAGUUGGAGGAGAAAAAUCUAUGAAGAAAGAAUGUCUUCUUCUGUAUCUCCAUUCAUAUUGUGUAUAAUACACUUAUAUAGAAUAUUUACAGAGACAAAGGGAAAUGGUUGUAUUUGUCCUACUUGAAUUUGUACAAAACUUUAUU